rnacentral:rRNA from 2 species
AAUCCAUAGGUUAAUGAGGCGAACCGGGGGAACUGAAACAUCUAAGUACCCCGAGGAAAAGAAAUCAACCGAGAUUCCCCCAGUAGCGGCGAGCGAACGGGGAGGAGCCCAGAGCCUGAAUCAGCAUGUGUGUUAGUGGAAGCGUCUGGAAAGGCGCGCGAUACAGGGUGACAGCCCCGUACACAAAAGCGCAUGUGCUGUGAGCUCGAUGAGUAGGGCGGGACACGUGGUAUCCUGUCUGAAUAUGGGGGGACCAUCCUCCAAGGCUAAAUACUCCUGACUGACCGAUAGUGAACCAGUACCGUGAGGGAAAGGCGAAAAGAACCCCGGCGAGGGGAGUGAAAAAGAACCUGAAACCGUGUACGUACAAGCAGUGGGAGCACAGGUUUACCUGUGUGACUGCGUACCUUUUGUAUAAUGGGUCAGCGACUUAUAUUCUGUAGCAAGGUUAACCGAAUAGGGGAGCCGGAGGGAAACCGAGUCUUAAUUGGGCGUUAAGUUGCAGGGUAUAGACCCGAAACCCGGUGAUCUAGCCAUGGGCAGGUUGAAGGUUGGGUAACACUAACUGGAGGACCGAACCGACUAAUGUUGAAAAAUUAGCGGAUGACCUGUGGCUGGGGGUGAAAGGCCAAUCAAACCGGGAGAUAGCUGGUUCUCCCCGAAAGCUAUUUAGGUAGCGCCUCGUGAAUUCAUCUCCGGGGGUAGAGCACUGUUUCGGCUAGGGGGCCAUCCCGGCUUACCAACCCGAUGCAAACUGCGAAUACCGGAGAAUGUUAUCACGGGAGACACACGGCGGGUGCUAACGUCCGUCGUGAAGAGGGAAACAACCCAGACCGCCAGCUAAGGUCCCAAAGUCAUGGUUAAGUGGGAAACGAUGUGGGAAGGCCCAGACAGCCAGGAUGUUGGCUUAGAAGCAGCCAUCAUUUAAAGAAAGCGUAAUAGCUCACUGGUCGAGUCGGCCUGCGCGGAAGAUGUAACGGGGCUAAACCAUGCACCGAAGCUGCGGCAGCGACACUGUG